rnacentral:rRNA from 1 species
UACGGAGGGAGCUAGCGUUGUUCGGAAUUACUGGGCGUAAAGCGCGCGUAGGCGGCUUUGUAAGUUAGAGGUGAAAGCCCGGGGCUCAACCCCGGAAUUGCCUUUAAGACUGCAUCGCUUGAAUCCGGGAGAGGUGAGUGGAAUUCCGAGUGUAGAGGUGAAAUUCGUAGAUAUUCGGCGGAACACCAGUGGCGAAGGCGGCUCACUGGCCCGGUACUGACGCUGAGGUGCGAAAGCGUGGGGAGCAAACAGG